CUUCAAUAUUCCAAUCAAACAAGAAAAUAUAAUUCAUUUUUGUCAAAAAAAAUUACAAGUUAAUUUUCUCAAAAACAGCAAAAAAAAUCCUGAUAAUUUAUUUCCAUAAAAUAAAUGGAGCCUAAAUAUCAUAUCAUCAUAAUAAUUGUCUCACAUGUAACAAUUUCCCCAAUCAACACGGAAGUAUCUAAGUGUCCAUAAUAAUUGGUGAUUUUUUUAGCUUUCUUUAAAAACUAAUAUUAGUUAGGAAUGAAUUAUUAGGUAUUCCUGUCAUUUGUCAUUCUCUGUGGAAUCCACUAUGCUGAGUUAUACAGUUUCAGCAAACUCUGCAUUCGGGUAGUGCGCAUUAUCUUCAGCAGAAUAAAUUACAGUAACACUACCCAACAAUUAUGGAAAGCUCCACCACAAGCCAUGUGUUUUAAUACUCUACAAGACAACCCUUCGACGAUUUGUCACCAACGCCAAUUUCCAACAAGUUGCAACAAGCGAAUCUUCUCAAUAUUCUUGAGAAUUUAACAAAAACAGGAAUUUUUAGUGGUAGUGUUAGAAAAUAAAUGCCAAUGUAAGGUCAAUCAUUUUGGCUAGAAAUCAUUGAAAUUAACUAGAAACUAUGUAACAGUCCAUUGACUAGCUCGUUCAAUUCCGCAAACUAGGGGGAAAAGGUCUAGUAAUAGCAAAUAGUAGCACAUGCAC
rnacentral:misc_RNA from 1 species